rnacentral:rRNA from 1 species
CUCCUGGAAACGGGUGGUAAUGCCGGAUGCUCCGCCCCCUCGCAUGGGGGGUCGGGAAGGCUUUUGCGGAAUGGGAUGGGGUCGCGUCCUAUCAGCUUGUUGGCGGGGCGACGGCCCACCAAGGCUUCGACGGGUAGCCGGCCUGAGAGGGCGACCGGCCACAUUGGGACUGAGAUACGGCCCAGACUCCUACGGGAGGCAGCAGUGGGGAAUAUUGCACAAUGGGGGGAACCCUGAUGCAGCGACGCCGCGUGCGGGAUGGAGGCCUUCGGGUCGUGAACCGCUUUUGAUUGGGAGCAAGCGUGAGUGAGUGUACCUUUCGAAUAAGCACCGGCUAACUACGUGCCAGCAGCCGCGGUAAUACGUAGGGUGCAAGCGUUGUCCGGAAUCAUUGGGCGUAAAGGGCUCGUAGGCGGUUCGUCGCGUCCGGUGUGAAAGCCCAUCGCUUAACGGUGGGUCUGCGCCGGGUACGGGCGGGCUUGAGUGCGGCAGGGGAGGCCGGAAUUCCCGGUGUAACGGUGGAAUGUGUAGAUAUCGGGAAGAACACC